rnacentral:rRNA from 1 species
AGAGUUUGAUCAUGGCUCAGGACGAACGCUGGCGGCGUGCCUAACACAUGCAAGUCGAACGGGGUAAAGAACUUCAGUUUUUUACUUAGUGGCGAACGGGUGAGUAACGCGUGAGAAACCUGCCUUUCAGUGGGGGACAACAGUUGGAAACGACUGCUAAUACCGCAUAAUGUUAUUUGAGGGCAUCCUCGGAUAACCAAAGAUUUAUUGCUGAAAGAUGGUCUCGCGUCUGAUUAGCUAGUUGGUGAGGUAACGGCUCACCAAGGCGACGAUCAGUAGCCGGUCUGAGAGGAUGAACGGCCACAUUGGGACUGAGAUACGGCCCAGACUCCUACGGGAGGCAGCAGUGGGGAAUAUUGGGCAAUGGGGGAAACCCUGACCCAGCAACGCCGCGUGAAGGAAGAAGGCCUUCGGGUUGUAAACUUCUUUUACCAGGGACGAAACUUGACGGUACCUGGAGAAAAAGCAACGGCUAACUACGUGCCAGCAGCCGCGGUAAUACGUAGGUUGCAAGCGUUGUCCGGAUUUACUGGGUGUAAAGGGCGUGUAGGCGGAGAUGCAAGUUGGGAGUGAAAUCCCGGGGCUCAACCCCGGAACUGCUUUCAAAACUGUAUCCCUUGAGUGUCGGAGAGGCAAGCGGAAUUCCUAGUGUAGCGGUGAAAUGCGUAGAUAUUAGGAGGAACACCAGUGGCGAAGGCGGCUUGCUGGACGAUAACUGACGCUGAGGCGCGAAAGCGUGGGGAGCAAACAGGAUUAGAUACCCUGGUAGUCC